rnacentral:rRNA from 1 species
UUCUAAUAGAACUAAAUAUUAGUAAGAUCUGCUCAAUGAACAUUAAAUUGCCGCAAUUGAAUUGUGCUAAGGUAGCAUAAUCAUUUGUCUUUUAAUUAAAGACUAGAACGAAAGAUUUAACCUUUAAGACAUUCUCUUAUAAAAUUAAUUUAAAUUAUCCUAAAUAUAAAAAGAUAUUUAUGAAAAAAAAAGACGAUAAGACCCUGUUGAAUUUAACUUUAGUUUGACUGGGGCAGUCAAUUAAUAAUCACUUUAAUUAAUAUUAAAAAACCCAAAAUUUUUGACAAUAUAAACAAAUUACCUUAGGGAUAACAGCGUAAUAAAAUUUAAAAGAUCUUAUUUAAAAUUUUGUUUACGACCUCGAUGUUGAAUAAAUGUCUAAUAAAUGCAACCAUUUAUUAAGAAAGUCUGUUCGACUUUUAAUUUUUUACA